CGCUUCCAAGUGUUCCAAGAAAAUUUCAUGUUAUUCUGAGCUCUGACUAGGGAACCAAGAUCCUGUGCUCAUCUUCUAUUGCAAACAACUAGUCUGAGAGGCAAGCUGGGUUGCCUUUGGAAAGAUGAAGCCAUUAUUUAGUCAGAAAUGCUCCAUAAACAGUACCGUUUCGGUAUCUGAUUGAAAAGUGGAUGCUAAAUAUAGAUACCUGAGUAAAAGAAACAAGCUGGGUGGACAUAUGUACUGUACACAGCAUUUUGGAUACUGUUUGUACCCAAUAAACAGGCUGAUGGAGUUUGCUUUUACAUCUUAUUGCGGAGGCGUAAAACUCUACAUGCUGCGGGGGCAUUAAUAGCUAACAGAAUCGCAAAGUCUUUGUCAGCACUGCUGUGCACAUAACAAUAAAGUACUAAGUGCAUAACAACGCUAAAUGGUAUUUCGGUACUUUUGGGGUGGCAAAUGUUAACAGAUGUCCUGCAACUGAUGCAGUGAACGUGGUGUGAGAAGCACCCACAGACUUGUAAUAAUACAAGGUAAAUUAUGCAGUCAUAAGUUGCUGAAAAAAUGGAUUUCCGUAGUGGCUUCAGCUUAUUUUGGAUAUUUUUCACUAUGGCCCCCACGAUUACAGGAUUUGACUGCAGGCCUGGCUGCAACCCUGUGAAUGGAUACUGUGAGCAAUCUGGAGAAUGCAGGUACAGUAAG